CAGUACAUUCCGAAGUCAUCAUCAGCACGUUGGCUUCAGAAAAUCCGCGCAACUGAAUUGUGAACAAUUCUGACCAAAGUCCGAAUUGUCCACAACCACCAGAUUGGAAUAUCCUGGUCAUCAUGUGACUACUGAACAUUACAUGUUACAUAGUAUAGUCGACAGGGCAUCAAAUUACUCAACAUUAUACAUUCAUCAUUAAACUGCAGUGCGUAAGACCCAUUUCGUCGUCGUAACCUUUGUCUGCUAAGGAAGGCGCAAUGGUAGGCAGAGUCAAAAUAGACUAUAGAACUAAUUUUCACAUUUGUUGCCUAAAAUAUAUCAACAUCAUUUUCCUUUUUCCAUCAUCAGCAGUUAUUGCUAAAAUUUAUCUGCUUCCACAAUUAUCUGUUUGUUAUGAUAAUGCCAAAUACCUUCUUUUUGUCGACCCUAACACAAUCUAUCCAUCUCUUUUUAGAUCUAUCACUAUAGAGUGUUUUUAAAAAAUUGCGUCAUGUUGCUGAUACUUCUGUUCUCAAAAUGGUCUACACUUCACUAUGUGAAUCCAUACUUACCUAUGGUAUUACAUCCUGGGGCGGUGCAGCAAAAUCUCAUCUUCUCUGUCUAGAACGUGCUCAGAGAGCAUUGUUAAAAGUCUGCAAAUUCAAACCUAUCCUAUUUCCGACCACCGAUCUUUACCGGCUGUGCCAGGUGCUUACAGUCCGACAACUUUAUAUAUUAAAUACUAUCCUAAAACAGCACCAGGAUAAAAAACCAUUCCCUUUCUCGUCCCGCUCUGCUCGUAAUCCUCCGUCCCUUGUAUUAGAAUGUUUUAAUACUUCCUUCUCCCACCGUUUCCACUGUUUCAUGGGUCCAUUCUUAUAUAAUAAAUUAAAUCGAACGCUUCUAUUACAUAAGUUACUAAAAUAUAGUUGUAAAAGGGAAGUUACAAACUUUUUAAUCGGGUUAGACUAUAAUGAAACCGAAAAUCUAAUUCAACCUCUAAAAUAAUUAUUUACCUGUAUAGUGCUUUUUUCUGAUUACAUAUGCUCCUAUAUUGUUUUUCAAAAUAAUUAUAAAUAUAUAUCAUCAUAUUCCUAUUAGAUUUGUAUUCUAUGCAUUUAUAUGUAGUUUAAUAUCUAAUAUAUAUAUAUAUUAUUAUUUAUCAUUAUUAUACAUAUACAUAUUAUAUUAGUAUCUAUGAUAAAUAUGACGAUAUACAAUACACAUAUAUUUUAACUUUGUAUAAUAUAAAAAUAUUAUAAACUUUAUUGUGUUUGCUCAAUUAGACAAGUGUUAACUGUCCUACUCCUUGUGGGGAGAGGCUGGUGAUCUGAGAUACAGGCUCUGCUUAGUUCAGACACCAGUCUCUCGCAGUCUUUAUAUGUAAAACAAUUACUUGUACUAAAUUUAAGAACACAGAAAGAUUGUGGAGAAUAAUAAACAUUUUUUGAAU